rnacentral:lncRNA from 1 species
GGGGAAUUCAUUGAUGAGCAUGGCUGCUGCCAGGUCUGUGAUGCUUCGUGUGCCAAGUGCCAGGGGCCAACCCAGGAAGAGUGUACCAGCUGCUUCAUCACAAGGGUUUUUGAUGAUGGCCGAUGUGUCUUGAACUGUCCCUCAUGGAAGUUUGAAUUUAAGAACCAGUGCCGUCCAUGCCACCACACUUGCCAAGGAUGCCGAGGAAGUGGGCCUUUCAACUGUACCUCCUGCAGACCAGGUGAGCCUGACACUUGCUUUUCUCCCCUCUCAAACCCAUUCUGGUCCACAGCCAUCUUUGGGGUAACUCAGAGGCCUCAUCUCUGGGGUUGAGGGUUAAAACUAAACAGCUGUUUAUUAGCAAGACGGUACAA